UACAGAGGGGGCGAGCGUUAUUCGGAAUUAUUGGGCGUAAAGGGCGCGUAGGCGGCCGUGUAAGUCUUGGGCGAAAUCCCUCAGCUCAACUGAGGAACUGCCUCGGAUACUGCAUGGCUUGAGGCCGGGAGAGGGUAGUGGAAUUCCCAGUGUAGCGGUGAAAUGCGUAGAUAUUGGGAGGAACACCGGUGGCGAAGGCGGCUACCUGGACCGGUUCUGACGCUGAUGCGCGAAAGCGUGGGGAGCAAACAGG
rnacentral:rRNA from 1 species